GAUGAACGCUGGCGGCAUGCCUAACACAUGCAAGUCGAACGCGAAAGGGCUUCGGCCCGAGUAGAGUGGCGGACGGGUGAGUAAUGCAUGGGAAUCUACCUCGCCGUGGGGGAUAACCCGGGGAAACUCGGGCUAAUACCGCAUACGACCUACGGGUGAAAGGGGGCUUCGGCUCUCGUGGCGAGAUGAGCUCAUGUCCGAUUAGCUAGUUGGCGGGGUAAAGGCCCACCAAGGCGACGAUCGGUAGCUGGUCUGAGAGGAUGAUCAGCCACACUGGGACGGAGACACGGCCCAGACUCCUACGGGAGGCAGCAGUGGGGAAUAUUGGACAAUGGGCGCAAGCCUGAUCCAGCAAUGCCGCGUGUGUGAAGAAGGCCUGCGGGUUGUAAAGCACUUUCAGUGGGGAAGAACGCCUCGGGGUUAAUACCCUCGGGGGUUGACGUUACCCACAGAAGAAGCACCGGCUAACUCCGUGCCAGCCGCCGCCGUAA
rnacentral:rRNA from 1 species